rnacentral:rRNA from 1 species
CCUACGGGGGGCAGCAGUAGGGAAUCUUCGGCAAUGGACGGAAGUCUGACCGAGCAACGCCGCGUGAGUGAAGAAGGUUUUCGGAUCGUAAAGCUCUGUUGUAAGAGAAGAACGAGUGUGAGAGUGGAAAGUUCACACUGUGACGGUAUCUUACCAGAAAGGGACGGCUAACUACGUGCCAGCAGCCGCGGUAAUACGUAGGUCCCGAGCGUUGUCCGGAUUUAUUGGGCGUAAAGCGAGCGCAGGCGGUUAGAUAAGUCUGAAGUUAAAGGCUGUGGCUUAACCAUAGUACGCUUUGGAAACUGUUUAACUUGAGUGCAAGAGGGGAGAGUGGAAUUCCAUGUGUAGCGGUGAAAUGCGUAGAUAUAUGGAGGAACACCGGUGGCGAAAGCGGCUCUCUGGCUUGUAACUGACGCUGAGGCUCGAAAGCGUGGGGAGCGAACAGGAUUAGAUACCCGGGUAGUC